rnacentral:rRNA from 1 species
UACGGAAGGGGCAAGCGUUGUUCGGAAUCAUUGGGCGUAAAGGGCGCGUAGGUGGUUCUGUAUGUCUACCGUGAAAGCGUACGGCUCAACCGUAUUUUGUCGGUAGAAACUGCAGGACUUGAGGCUGGGAGGGGCUGGUGGAAUUCCCUGUGUAGCGGUGAAAUGCGUAGAGAUGGGGGGAGAACACUCGUGGCGAAGGCGGCCAGCUAGACCAGUUCUGACACUGAGGCGCGACAGCGUGGGGGAGCAAACAGG